GGCCUUGACAUACUAAGAACUUUCCAGAGAUGGAUUGGUGCCUUCGGGAACUUAGAUACAGGUGCUGCAUGGCUGUCGUCAGCUCGUGUCGUGAGAUGUUGGGUUAAGUCCCGCAACGAGCGCAACCCUUUUCCUAUUUGCCAGCGGGUCAUGCCGGGAACUUUAAGGAUACUGCCAGUGACAAACUGGAGGAAGGCGGGGACGACGUCAAGUCAUCAUGGCCCUUACGGCCAGGGCUACACACGUGCUACAAUGGUCGGUACAAAGGGUUGCUACCUCGCGAGAGGAUGCUAAUCUCAAAAAGCCGAUCGUAGUCCGGAUCGCAGUCUGCAACUCGACUGCGUGAAGUCGGAAUCGCUAGUAAUCGCGGAUCAGAAUGCCGCGGUGAAUACGUUCCCGGGCCUUGUACACACCGCCCGUCACACCAUGGGAGUUUGUUGCACCAGAAGUAGGUAGUCUAACCGCAAGGAGGACGCUUACCACGGUGUGGCCGAUGACUGGGGUGAAGUCGUAACAAGGUAGGCGUAGAUGA
rnacentral:rRNA from 1 species